UCUCUGGCUGCUGCGAGCCACACUGCUGUGCCCGUCCCUGUGCCGUGCGCCCUGCCUUGGAGCCAGCCAACCAUGGCAGAAGAUGUGCUGCUGCGUACUGCGUCUCAGUGACGAGGAAAGAGACUGAGCCAGCUGACGUCUUUCUAAGAAGAGCAAAAGGCACAGGGGAGCCAUCCGAUGAUGGAGUCAGAGACCGAGGAGCGGCACAGCCACAGCCGGGGGCGCCAGGGACUGGCGGCGGCCACUGGCAGCCAGUGGAAGGCAGGACCCAUCCGCGGCACCUCGAUGCCGAACCUCAGGUCUGCAGAACCCAGAAGGAAGACAACUGUUGCGAGCCUUUGUUACAGCCACCGCAGGAAACUAAGAAAGAGCAACUGAGCAGCCGCGUCCCUGGCGUGAACCCGGCCAGCGCUGCUCCUGCGGCGGCAGGCCAGGGCGCACUUAGCUCCUUCCCGUCUCCAACUGCGUGUCGCCGUUUUGCUCUGGGGACACUGAGUCAGCUUCUUGCCUCCCAGGUGGGGCCUGAUCCCCAGACCCUGAGGAAUAGGGGCCCCCGCGGCGCUCUUCGCCUUUCAGUCAAUCAGCUUUUUUAUUUUUUAGGUACAUAUUUGUUGUACAUCUCCUCCCCGCUCACUAACUCCACUGAAAAUGGAACUUUAAAAAUCAGAUGUUCUUCUUUCAGAGAUAAAUAACUCUUCCAAACUUUUUCCUGUUGAGCAUAUAAACAACACCGACUCCCCUCCCCAGCCCUAAGCCAAAGCCUUUUGCAGGAAGAGGAGGAGGGAUGGAAGGUGGCCGGGAGGGGCGAAACCAGCAUGGAGUUCUGUGUCCCCUCUCUGCUCUCUGCCUCGGUUUCUGGCUAUCAAAGACCUGUGGCCACCUGCACACAGGAUAUGGGAAAACAGGCCCCUCCUCCUCCUCAGAGCUGGCUUCAGAAUAAAUCCUUUCUAUCAAAAUAAACAGCUCCUUUGACUUGUCAGCAGGGAGCGGGCAAACGUGAGUGGCUGGCAGCAUGAGUGUCCCCAUGCUGCCCUGCCUCCCUCCCUGGCCCCAAGCCCCGGACACUGUCAAAUGAGUUCAUCCUCUGAAAGGCAGGUUCCUGGAGUGCUCCAAGCUGAGAAAGUACUAGAAGGGACUUUGGGUCAAUCGGAAAGCCCGGGGCUAGGGAUUUAGCUCAGUGGCACAAGUUCCUGCCUUGCAAGCAGGCAGUCGUGAGUUUGUUCCCUGGUACCGAUAAAAAGGAAAAAGACAAAAAAAAAAAAAAAAAAAAAAGUAGGAAAGCCCGCAUGAGGUCAAGUGUAUGCAUGUGUUGCAUGCCUGUGUGUCAGUGUGCACAUGCAUGUAUUUGAUUAGGUGAGGCAGCUCUGUGAAUGGGAUCAGGCCCACCCCCAGAUGGCUUUCCAUCCCCAAAUCUUGCAUCCAAGAAGAAUUUCCCUUGAGCACCUCCUGUCUCCCUGCGGCCACUGAGGAUCACGUCCCAGGCCACUCCUGCAAUGGGAAGGACUUUUCCAGCCCAGUGCCCACCAGCUCGUGACCAGCUUCCAGAAUCCCUUGGAGAAAACACACAGGGAAAUUGCUGUAAAUCCACUUAAUGAUGGAGAAGUCCCAAAACACCAUAUUCCAAAGGAUGAAAAAUGCAGGAUGCAAAUGAGAAAGAAUCAAGGUCAAUAACACCGUGGAGACGGGCCUAAUGGCAGAUUUGGAGAUAUACGUAAUAAAAAUUGCAUGUUGCUUUUAAACCUCA